GAUGAACGCUAGCUACAGGCUUAACACAUGCAAGUCGAGGGGAAACGACAUCGAAAGCUUGCUUUUGAUGGGCGUCGACCGGCGCACGGGUGAGUAACGCGUAUCCAACCUGCCCAUCACUUGGGAAUAACCUUGCGAAAGUAAGACUGAUACCCAAUGAUAUCCCACGAAGGCAUCGGAAUGGGAUUAAAGAUUUAUCGGUGAUGGAUGGGGAUGCGUCUGAUUAGCUUGUUGGCGGGGUAACGGCCCACCAAGGCAACGAUCAGUAGGGGUUCUGAGAGGAAGGUCCCCCACAUUGGAACUGAGACACGGUCCAAACUCCUACGGGAGGCAGCAGUGAGGAAUAUUGGUCAAUGGGCGAGAGCCUGAACCAGCCAAGUAGCGUGCAGGAAGACGGCCCUAUGGGUUGUAAACUGCUUUUAUAAGGGAAUAAAGUGGGUCACGUGUGACUUUUUGCAUGUACCUUAUGAAUAAGGACCGGCUAAUUCCGUG
rnacentral:rRNA from 1 species